GGAAUGCACUGUCACACUGUAGAUUCAUACUGGGAAUGCUCUGUCACACUGUAGAUUCAUACUGGGAAUGCUCUGUCAUGCUGUAGAUUCAUACUGGGAAUGCUCUGUCACGCUGUAGAUUCAUACUGGGAAUGCUCUGUCACGCUGUAGAUUCAUACUGGGAAUGCACUGUCAUGCUGUAGAUUCAUACUGGGAAUGCACUGUCAUGCUGUAGAUUCAUACUGGGAAUGCUCUCUGUCCCUUGUGAAUUCAUACUGGGAAUGCUCUCUGUCCCUCGUGAAUUCAUACAGGGAAUGUAAAAAUCAUAACCCCCAGCCAGGAGAUGUUGGCACCCGUUUCCGUGGCCUGCUCUGCAGAGCCGUCGGGGUCCAUGCAUGGAUCAGCAUGUUUCUCAGUGAUCAGUGCAGGUGUUUGUUGCUCUGCAGAGCCGUUGGGGUCCAUGCGUGGAUCAGCAUGUUUCUCAGUGAUCAGUGCAGGUGUUCACUGCUCUGCAGAGCAGUCGGGGUCCAUGCGUGGAUCAGCAUGUUUCUCAGUGAUCAGUGCAGGUGUUCACUGCUCUGCAGAGCAGUCGGGGUCCAUGCGUGGAUCAGCAUGUUUCUCAGUGAUCAGUGCAGGUGUUCACUGCUCUGCAGAGCCGUCGGGGUCCAUGCGUGGAUCAGCAUGUUUCUCAGUGAUCAGUGCAGGUGUUCACUGCUCUGCAGAGCCGUCGGGGUCCAUGUGUGGAUCAGCAUGUUUCUCAGUGAUCAGUGCAGGUGUUUGUUGCUCUGCAGAGCCGUCGGGGUCCAUGCGUGGAUCAGCAUGUUUCUCAGUGAUCAGUGCAGGUGUUCUCUGCUCUGCAGAGCCGUUGGGGUCCAUGCAUGGAUCAGCAUGUUUCUCAGUGAUCAGUGCAGGUGUUCACUGCUCUGCAGAGCCGUCGGGGUCCAUGCGUGGAUCAGCAUGUUUCUCAGUGAUCAGUGCAGGUGUUCACUGCUCUGCAGAGCCGUCGGGGUCCAUGCGUGGAUCAGCAUGUUUCUCAGUGAUCAGUGCAGGUGUUCACUGCUCUGCAGAGCCGUCGGGGUCCAUGCGUGGAUCAGCAUGUUUCUCAGUGAUCGGUGUAGGUGUUCACUGCUCUGCAGAGCCGUCGGGGUCCAUGCGUGGAUCAGCAUGUUUCUCAGUGAUCGGUGUAGGUGUUCACUGCUCUGCAGAGCCGUCGGGGUCCAUGCGUGGAUCAGCAUGUUUCUCAGUGAUCGGUGUAGGUGUUCACUGCUCUGCAGAGCCGUCGGGGUCCAUGCGUGGAUCAGCAUGUUUCUCAGUGAUCAGUGCAGGUGUUCGUUGCUCUGCAGAGCCGUCGGGGUCCAUGCGUGGAUCAGCAUGUUUCUCAGUGAUCAGUGCAGGUGUUCACUUCACUGCUCUGCAGAGCCGUUGGGGUCCAUGCGUGGAUCAGCGUGUUUCUCGGUGAUCAGUGCAGGUGUUCACUGCUCUGCAGAGCCGUCGGGGUCCAUGCGUGGAUCAGCAUGUUUCUCAGUGAUCAGUGCAGGUGUUCACUGCUCUGCAGAGCAGUCGGGGUCCAUGCGUGGAUCAGCAUGUUUCUCAGUGAUCAGCGCAGGUGUUCACUGCUCUGCAGAGCCGUCGGGGUCCAUGCGUGGAUCAGCAUGUUUCUCAGUGAUCAGUGCAGGUGUUCACUGCUCUGCAGAGCCGUCGGGGUCCAUGCGUGGAUCAGCAUGUUUCUCAGUGAUCAGUGCAGGUGUUCGUUGCUCUGCAGAGCCGUCGGGGUCCAUGCGCGGAUCAGCAUGUUUCUCCGUGAUCAGUGCAGGUGUUCACUGCUCUGCAGAGCAGUCGGGGUCCAUGCGUGGAUCAGCAUGUUUCUCAGUGAUCAGUGCAGGUGUUCGUUGCUCUGCAGAGCCGUCGGGGUCCAUGCGUGGAUCAGCAUGUUUCUCAGUGAUCAGUGCAGGUGUUCACUGCUCUGCAGAGCCGUCGGGGUCCAUGCGUGGAUCAGCAUGUUUCUCAGUGAUCAGUGCAGGUGUUCGUUGCUCUGCAGAGCCGUCGGGGUCCAUGCGUGGAUCAGCAUGUUUCUCAGUGAUCGGUGCAGGUGUUCACUGCUCUGCAGAGCCGUUGGGGUCCAUGCGUGGAUCAGCAUGUUUCUCAGUGAUCAGUGCAGGUGUUUGUUGCUCUGCAGAGCCGUCGGGGUCCAUGCGUGGAUCAGCAUGUUUCUCAGUGAUCAGUGCAGGUGUUCACUUCACUGCUCUGCAGAGCCGUUGGGGUCCAUGCGUGGAUCAGCGUGUUUCUCAGUGAUCAGUGCAGGUGUUUGCUGCUCUACAGAGCCGUCGGGGUCCAUGCGCGGAUCAGCAUGUUUCUCAGUGAUCAGUGCAGGUGUUCACUUCACUGCUCUGUCUCUUAAGUUACAAACAAGAGAAAAAGGUUUAAAAUGUCCUGGCUUUGAACUUGUCGUCUUCAGAUUGGUGAAAAGCAAAGAGAGUGUAGGAGGGGUCGGGGUGGUUAUUUCCUUUGGUAUACUAGAAAUGUGUGCGUGUGGAUGAGCAAACACUGCAAUAAAGGACACAGGAAGGGUUUAUGAUUUAUGACCUCACAGUGAUUGAAGGCUGGUCGCACAGCACACAGACAUGCAGAAUAUAUUCAGCGUUCAUUUCGACGUUCCUCUGCAGUUCCCAAAUAAACUAGAAAUGACGGCCCUGCUGGCUUCUGCACCAGCCUGAGUGUGCGUGUGUGUGCGUGAGUGUGCGUGUGUGUGCGUCGUUCGUUUUUGUUUCCUUCCAGUCAGGCUGUUCAGUAUUUGCAUUUAAGUCACGAUUGUGGUACAGUACUUUUUUCCCCAUAUUGAAACAAAUCCGUACAAUAAACGUUCAGUUGUUUUGAUUGCUAUACCUUGUGCAGUGUUUGGGUUUAGCACACAACAAACAUGCACCAUGUAGAAUGAGAUUUUGCUGGAGAAGUACUGAAGUCACGUUUUACACAAUUAUAAUAUUUAGUAUUGCUUUCCAGUUAGGGUUGCAAAAUUCCCGGGAAUUUUGAGAGCGGUAAAUUUCCACCGGCAUUUUUAUGGACCUUUGUGGGAAUAUUGUGAAUUUUCAGAAAUAUUCGGGAACUUUGGGAAUUUUCAUUUUGUAAUAUUGAACAGAUAAGUGAUCUUGGAUCAGGGUAACUCCGUUGUUUCAGAAGAAAGUAAAAACAUGCUCUAAACACUUUUAAACUUUGAGUUCAAAGGAUUUCAACUCUUAAGUUUAGAACACAAUCAUAACUCAGUUUUGCUUCACAUAUUGUAAGUUAUUUAAAAGAUGCUGGACAUGUCUAGCAUAAAACACUAUAGGUCACUAGUAUGCUGUAAGUACUGUUCAGUUAUAUACCAUACUCAAAACCAGAACAUUGGUUACAAAUGAUUUGAACUCGUAUCCUUUUCAUUUCAGAACAGUCAACUCAAUUUGUCAUCUUAACAGAUCAAUAUAUAAAUUAUUUGGAAACAAAGUCCUACUUGCUGUCUAUCAUAUACAGACAAGGUACUAGUGUGCUGCAAGUACUGGUCAAUAAAAUGGUUUAAUAGUGAUUGGCAACAAUAAAUAAAACAAAACAUACAAAAGUAAUGGGACAGCCUUUCCAAACCGUGACUAUUCUGAGAGUGGGGCCCAUUUCACCAUGUUUAUUGGAACUAAUCAUUCUGUGCCAAGAAAAUAAUUGGCAUUAGAUUUACUUAACAAUGUUAUGAGAGACUGAGUUGAAUUAUUUUUAUUAUUACUUUGAUGAUUUUUCGCUUGCUGGUUUCUCAGUCACUGUGAGUCGCAUCCCGUUUGCAUAUCAUCUGGCUCUGUUUCACCAUCAGAUUCACGGCGGUGUAACAGAGGAUGAACGCGUAUCUUUUAAACACAGAGAAAUAUAAACACUUAAAGCCUAGGCGGUUUCCAUAUCAAUUAACAAAACAUGCGACUAUUGAAUAAAUACAGCUAAAGAGACACUAGAAUAAACCGUUUGAAAUCUAAAACAGAUUACUGUUUGAUUGUUGCGUUCAUAAUUUUAAAACAAAAUUAACGACACACUUUCAUAGGUUUUAAUAAACUCACACACGCAAAUCAAACCUAGAAAAUACAUUUCUUUUGUUGUUACUAUAUGUUUUUAUUUAAAAUAACUCAAAAACUGUUACGAUGAAAUAAUGCAUGAACACCUCACAGUCUACUUACUGCAUUAUUAUUAUUAUUUAUUUCUUAGCAGACGCCCUUAUCCAGGGCGACUUACAAGAUAUAACAUUAUUUUUACAUACAAUUACAUUAUUUUUUAUACAUUAUUUUACAUACAAUUACCCAUUUAUAGAGUUGGGUUUUUUUUUACUGGAGCAAUCUAGGUAAAGUACCUUGCUCAAGGGUACAGCAGCAGCGUCCCCACCUGGGAUUGAACCCAGAGCCCUGACCACUACUCACACUGCUGCCCUUAAAGUGAAGGCAGGUCAAUAAUGCAACAGAAAAGUGUGACGUUUUCUUUUCUCCACGGCAGUGUAAAGAUCAUACAGCUGUAUGUACAGUAGCUUACUGACAGAGUUUGUGAGGCGGGAUAUCCACAUGACAAGCGCACUUAAAGGCAAAACUAGCGCUCCCACCCAGCCAAAAGUCGAUGUUCAAUCUUGGUAUAUUUUGGUAGUUUUGACCAAUCAUAACCCGUAUCGCUACCAAGAAUUGACCAGGAAAGAGCCAAUCAGAUUUCGCAGAGCAACCAAGAAUGAAGUGACGCAAUGAUCCAAUCAGAUCUCGUAGAUCUACCAAGAAUCCUGCGCGUUUUCAACGACGGGAGAUUAUUGAAUCUUGAAGUCUUUUGGUUUAUUUCGAAAUACAAUCAUCUGAAGGUAAGAAUUUUAUUACAGUAUUAUUUGAAUUGUCACUAGUACUGUACAUAUAGUCACCAAGAAUUAAAAAACGACAAUAAUAUAUGUCCGUAUUACAAAUGUCAGCUGUAGAAAUUCGCGGAUAGUAAACUCUAUAUUUUGUAAUAUUAUCAGUAAAAAUACACGAUUGACAUUUUUUUACAAUAGGUGUCAGUUAAAAUUGUAAUAUUUACGACAGCUAGAAACUUGUUUGAGGGACUGUUUUAUCCAAAGAGCAAUUAUAUUUAAUACAUUUGUCCGUUAUAAUGGUACUGUAAUACAUGUAUCCGGGACAACAGAAAUCGUACCAUGGUAAAAUAAAUAGUACCAUAUAGUACCGUGGUGUAGUGUUGCAUUAUACUGUAGAUACCAGGAUACCACAAUCGUAUUAUCAUGGUGGUACUGCAUUAUUGAACCAUAAUAGAGCAUUGUACAUUGAUAGUAUCGGAUACAUUGUGUGUUUCUAUCAUUUGUUUUUAAUUAUGUAUCCAUGAAGGUUAUAGUACUGUAUUUAACUUUAGGUUUUUAAGUUUAAUUUAGUUUUCAUUGAAAAAUGAUCUUGUUUGAAAGCAAUACUUAAAAAAUGUGAACAUGGCUACUCCAUGCUUUUUUUUUUUUUUUUUUUUUUAAUAAUCUCUCUUUUUUCAACAGUAAAUCCCUUUUGCCAUUGUAUAGUCGUGUUUAUUUGUUUUCAACCAUUGAACACCUUUUUGAUUUCUUGUUUUGUGUAGAAACCUUUUAUUUGGCCAUUGUGACUAUUUUGUGUUUUAGACUAUUUGUUUAAUUGAAGUCUUUUGUUUAACUGCAAACUUGCUAUUCUGUUACAAAUGCUCCUUUUCAGGUUCAGAUGGAACCCUUGUUUAGAAAGGCUGAUGGCAGGCUCAACCUGACUGAUACCUCGGCUGCCUUCAAAGUGAAGGAGGAAAACUGCAGGAGCCCAUGGUCCAGGGCCACUUCACCAGAGAAAGUUUUGAGCUCAGCUAGCAGUGCGGUUUUGCAUGAUGGCAGGUACCCAGACAACAAAGUGCAUGUUUUGGGACAAUAUGAACUUCAGUUUGGUGUUUUCAGGGGGCAGGUAUUUAAGUGGGUUGCCGAGAACGUCUUGGGAUAUGCUGGGUUUCUUGUGGCUGCGAUGGAUAAGGACACAGCCUCAGGCUCAAGGGACUCUAAGAACCACAACGCUAACAAGCUGUCCUUCAAGGAGUACAUUGAGCUUUUUCCAGAGGGAACAGAAGCUAUCAAGCUGAAGAUUGUGAAGGAUAAGAGUCCCCAGCCAUCGACCAGUAAGCCGCAGCCGACAGCAUCAUCCCUUCCUUCACUGUUGGUUGGAAAGAUGCCUCCCCCUCAGGCCCUUGCCAAAGUAAUCCAUAAGUUGGUAUUGCCCCAGAAGGUUCAACCAUCUCUGAUGACUGGUGCUGAACUGAGCGACCAAGAACUCCUGACUGAAGAUGAACAGAUUGAGUCUAAUAUUCAGUGUAAAAUGCUUUAGAUAAAGGGAACCGAAGGAAAAGACCGAUCUGGAAAAGGCUGGGUUGCAGCACUGCAGGAGAGUCUGUGAUUCUGAGGACCAGACCGGCGGUGUGUGACCGACACCUCGGUGCUUCAUACGCAUUCCCAGCUGAGGAUAGAGUGCCGGUUCAUGAACGAUUCAAAGCCGCUUACCCAAGCUCCAGCACGGGGAGGCGCGAGUGGUGUGGGUGCUGGUCAUGUUGAUUCACUGUUCUGUGUUACCCACAGCUCUGAGUCUAGAUUUACAGCCAUGGCAGGAAUGUAUGUUACUAACAUACCGGCGCCUCCAUUUUUCUCUUCUUUUUUUUUAUAUAUAAAAUGGUCAUGUCCAUCAUUGACACUAUACAAAAAUGUUCUUCUGUACUAAAACUGUUACCGUUUUCAUGCUAAAGCCAUAGAACCUAGGUAUUAAUUUAAUUUAUUUUCAUUUCAUUGUUUAUUAAUUUUUUUUAUUUUUAUUUGUAUCAAUCGGGAUCAUCCAAAUGUGUUGUAAUUGCUUGUGUCAGCAGAGGGCGCUGUUGGGUCAGGCUGUUGCUUCUCGAUGACAUAAUUAUAACUUGGAUCAUCUCGGCUUGCCUAUCGCAGCUGUGCCAAUGCCUGCAGUUCCGCAACUCACCACUAGAGACAGUGUUACCUCGCUCGGAGUUUUUACUGUCCUGUUUUUUAUGGUGCUUGUAAUCAUGGUAAAUUUUUCUAAAUGCAAUCACAGAACUGAAAUACAGUGUUUUCUUUACUUUU